UACAGAGGUCCCAAGCGUUGUUCGGAUUCACUGGGCGUAAGGGGUGCGUAGGUGACCGGGUAAGUUCGGUGUGAAAGCUCGGAGCUCAACUCCGAAAAGGCAUUGAAUACUAUCCGGCUUGAGGGUCGGAGGGGAGACUGGAAUUCUCGGUGUAGCAGUGAAAUGCGUAGAUAUCGAGAGGAGCACCAGUGGCGAAGGCGAGUCUCUGGACGACCCCUGACGCUGAGGAGCGAAAGCCAGGGGAGCAAACGGG
rnacentral:rRNA from 1 species